UGGGGAAUAUUGGACAAUGGGCGCAAGCCUGAUCCAGCAAUGCCGCGUGUGUGAAGAAGGCCUUCGGGUUGUAAAGCACUUUUAUCAGGAGCGAAACGCUGUCAGCUAAUACCCGGCGGAACUGACGGUACCUGAGGAAUAAGCACCGGCUAACUUCGUGCCAGCAGCCGCGGUAAUACGAAGGGUGCAAGCGUUAAUCGGAAUUACUGGGCGUAAAGCGUGCGUAGGCGGUUUCUUAAGUCUGCUGUGAAAUCCCCGGGCUCAACCUGGGAAUGGCAGUGGAUACUGGGAGGCUAGAGUGUGUCAGAGGGUGGUGGAAUUCCCGGUGUAGCGGUGAAAUGCGUAGAGAUCGGGAGGAACAUCAGUGGCGAAGGCGGCCACCUGGGACAACACUGACGCUGAGGCACGAAAGCGUGGGGAGCAAACAGGAUUAGAUACCCUGGUAGUCCACGCCCUAAACGAUGCGAACUGGAUGUUGGUCUCAACUCGGAGAUCAGUGUCGAAGCUAACGCGUUAAGUUCGCCGCCUGGGGAGUACGGUCGCAAGACUGAAACUCAAAUGAAUUGACGGGGUCAUAGCUGUUUCC
rnacentral:rRNA from 1 species